CUUAUUACACUUCAAUACUCUUCAUUCUUUAUCUCGUCUCUCUUCACCCAAGGUAUAAACUUAUCUGAUAUCAAACUGUGUAAUCUUCCGGGAGGCUAUUACAGAUCCUAUUUUCAAUCAACCACUCUGAUACUUCUAGGGCUUUACAAAAGCACUUGGAAUCGUGGAGCUUCUCGAAAAUACCUCUCACCAAAGAAGGGUGCUUGCUGGUGUAUGAUCCACAACCACUUCGAGCCUAAACAGUACAGUUCUUCGGAGACGAUAAGGUUCCGGUUCUGUAGUAGGAGCAGAAGAAUCGAGGUCUGCUAUUGUAAACGCGAAUUCACUUUGCGUGUUGCUGA